GGGGGCAUGAAAAGGGCAGAGUUGAGCACAGGGUCAGCAGCAGGAGGAGGUGAGAAGAACAAGUAAAAAGAAAGGGGAAAGAGAGUGGAACAGAGGGGAGGAAGGGCGAAACAAAAAAGGAAUGAGAAACAACAAGAUGAACAAAGACUGAAAGUCCAAAAGAGAAGGUGAGGACUCCCAGUGGGACAGAGGGCAAAGAGAGGCGAGAAGGAAAAGGAAUCUAGUGCAAAGAGGCAGAGGCAAUGGGUCAGGGAUCAGAGGAACGAAAGGUCGGAUCCUGGGGAAGGAAAGCAGCUCAACAGAGAGACAAAGUGGGCCUGGGACAGGAUGGGCCAACAGGAGGUGCAGGAGCGACAGUGGCCAUACACUGAGGUGGCCUGGGAUAAGGCUGUGGCUGCAGGGCCACAUGGGCCUGGAGGGCGGCAGCCGGAGACUGACCUGCCUUCACCUCCCGCCUCACACAGCCUUGCUCCAUGCCUCUCUUGAUCCCUCCCACCACUCCACUCACUGGGCCAAGAGGGUCGACUGCCAGUUCACAGCAAGGUGCCAGCUGUCCCCUGCCACUCAGCCAGAUGCGCUGCUGGCCCCACCCCAGGGCCCCCAGUCUGAGAUGCCAACACUCAAGCACUUUCCUGGGCUGGGGUCAGGACAGAGAGAGAUGGGACUAUGAAACAGGAACGAACCCAGUUGGGAUUAAGAGUGGAAGAGAGGAGAAAAGGACAAUGUAAAUGGGAAAGAGAACGGUAUAAAGAACAAGGGACAGGUGUACCUUUCAGGGACCAGCCACUAUGAACAUCUCUCACCCUCACACCAACCCUGAGAAAUAGGUAGGAGUAUUCCAUUUUACAGAUGAGGAACUUAAGGUCCCAAGUGUUUAAAUUACAUAUGAAGGGCAUCCACUAAUGAAAGCAAAGCAGGGAGUCCAACUCAGGUGAUCUGUCUCCCAAAUCCUUGUUCUUGUGCUCCCUGGGCCUGGUUAAGCCUUGAGGGACGUGGGGACAGGGAAGCGGAGAAGCCAGGGCUGUGCUCCGGAGGGCGGAGAGGCCUAGUUCCUGGGAGCCCUAGCUCCAGGUUGCCAUAGUUACUCAGUCUGUUUUCACCCCAAACACAGUAAUGGGGAGUGGGGGAGCCUGGCUGGACACGUGAGGCUCUCCCCUCCUCCUUCAGGCCCGGGCUUCUGGCCCGGGCGGCCCCUGUCCAGUCAUCUGGGCAUUGAGCCCAGGCCCAGCCCACACCCUCUAGCUGACCCAGGACACUCCUGCGGGGCCAGGCCUGAGGCGCUGCUGGACAGGAGCCGCUGAUGGGAUCCCCCCAGGUUGAGUGAGAUUUGGCCCCUCACCCUGUCCUGUUCCCCUUCCUCGUAAAGGCACAGCCUUUCUUGCCAGAUCCAUUCUCAUCUGUUUCUCUCAACUGGACUCCAAGUCUCAGUCUCCCUCAGUUUAGGGCUAAGAAGAUACUCUCGAACAUCUCCCCUUCCCUCCAAACACUGCCCGCUUCUCCACUGCGGCCCCUCCUUUCUGGCUCACAGCCUUCUGGCCCCAGCUCCGCUGUUUGUUCAAGCUGCUCUGCUCAUCCUGGAAAUCAAGGGAAGGGAGGGAAAACCUGCUAGAAUGCAGGGGACGCAGGGAGGCUGCUCACCCCAAAGGGCGUGGGGCUCCCUGUCCUUCCUGUUUACUCAGACACAUUCCAGGGAUCUGUAUCCUCGGGGCUGUCAUGCCAGGAGACAUCCCACCCUCACCCCAACCCCCCCUGCCCCCACCACUAGACACAGACAUGCCCCAGUGUUGUAGGGGCGGGGACAAGGGGAUGACAUGAGGUCUGGGAUCCCACACCCAACCGGCCCCAGAGCCAGCUAUGUCUUCAGGGCUUGGUUCUCUGAGAUACUGGCCAUACAGGAGCCACUUUCCCCCAAUUCCCCGUCCUGAGCCAGGAAGGCAGCCACCAUUCCUUCAACUCCCUCCAAGUUGUUUAUUUAAUAAUAAAAAAGAAGAUAUACAUAUACGUAAACUUGAUCUCCCACCACCACCCCUCCUUCACUCUCAGAAACUAGCUCCAAAAUGUAAAAACGUCCCUUGUCCCUCCGGGGGACUAAAUUCCCACCUCCACCCCCCCACCCCCAAACAGAGAAACAAAAGAACAGAGUGUGCAGGAGUCACCCACCCCAAAACUUAAUCUCAAAGAAAGAAGAAAGAAUUAGGGGUUCAGAGAAAUGAGAGGAGCCCUAUAUCCAAAAAUGGGUGGGAAAAGAGGUAACCCCCCUCACCCCCAAAUAAGUGCUUAACCCCACACCCUGCCUUUCCGUUCCCACUUGCCCCAAGCCCAGGGAUCAGCCCCACUUGGUCACCCCACCUCCUGUCCACCACCACCAGCUCUAAGUCAGAGUUAGUUGCACGGGUCAGGGGUGAUUGAGGUAGAGGGGCUGGUGGGAGGCCUGGUGUGCCUGGCCGGUUUUAGAAGCCGGCAAGGGGCCACCCGUGGCAUUGCCUGGGGUCGAGGAUGGCUGUUUACGGAGCGAGGGGGGCACCGUAGACGUCUUGAUGUGAAUCACCCGGGUGUCCAUGACCUCACACUCGAUCUGCAUCAUCUCCUCAUAGUCCCCUGGAGCCCCCCGGCCUGACAGGGUCUCUGUGAGAAAGAGAGAGUUAAGGGAGAGGAGAAGGGCAGGCAAACAGAGGGAAAAAGUAGAGGUAGGCAGGGAGGGAGGGGCAAUGGUGAGGAGGCCGAUUCACAGCAGGAGUUGAAAGACAGGGUAGGGAUGGAGUUGGUGCAGGGAGAGAAAAGGGGCAGGAAAAGAAAAUAUCAUGGAUAAGUCACAGAGGACACAUAUGCUUGAGGUCACAGAGGAGAGGACAUCAAGAGAAAACAAGGACACACCAUUUGAGAGAAAUGAUGGAAGGAGAAGGGACUGGCUGGAUGCGCCAUCGGUGCUGAGGAUACCUGUGCUGUCUGUGUGCCUUGGAGCAGGGGGUGUCGGCCCCUCUGACUGGACCCGAAUAGCACCUUGGAUGAGGACAACUGGCGAAACUGGGGCAAGUGAGCAGGAGAAGGAGUACCUCCUCUCCUAUAAAAGCCUGUGAUGGGCAUUCCAGAAGAUAUGUGAGUCGGGAGGAGAAUCAAGGAGAAGGAGCCGAAGAAGAGAAUGCUUUCAUACCUCUGAGAGGCCGAAGGAGCUCACUGGAAUGUCUGGAGAGAGCACACAAUCCAGAAGGAAGAGGAACUGUGGGGCUGCUGAUCUGCUGGCUCUCUUCCCACCUCUUUGCCCAGGACUUUCCUUUCUCCUUCCCUGGCUCCUGAAGCUCUCUAUGUUGACAGCAGCCAAGUCUGCAUUUCUACCCUUAACGACUCCCCUGUAUCUUGAUCCCGACUCCCCAGGUGCCUGCUGGUCACUUCCUUUCUCAUUCCCCACCACCCACCCAAGUUCAAGCUGGCCUUAAAUGGGGCUCACUGCUUGUCCCUUCACACAAAUUCCCCUUCUACUCUGUCAGCCUCCCAGGCACCAAAUCACAAAGCCUCAGUUGGCUCCGAGCCUUCCUGACCUCUGACAAAUCCAUCUGUGAGACUUGCUGAUCACCCCGUGUGGGCGAAAUAAAACUCACUCGAGGACCAGAUUCAACCCCAA